rnacentral:rRNA from 1 species
GCUAGUAAUCGCGGAUCAGCAUGCCGCGGUGAAUACGUUCCCGGGCCUUGUACACACCGCCCGUCACACCAUGAGAGUUUGUAACACCCAAAGCCGGUGGGGUAACCUCUUGGAGCCAGCCGUCUAAGGUGGGACAGAUGAUUAGGGUGAAGUCGUAACAAGGUAUC